GCCGAAGUGGUGGAACAUGGUAGACACGCCGGAUUUAGGUUCCGGUGCCUUGUGCGUGGGCGUUCGAGUCGCCCCUUCGGCA
rnacentral:tRNA from 1 species